GCAGUCGAACGGGAUCCUGCAAGCUUGCUUGCGGGUGAGAGUGGCGAACGGGUGAGUAAUGCGUGACCAACCUGCCCCAUGCUCCGGAAUAGCUCCUGGAAACGGGUGGUAAUGCCGGAUGUGCCGGGCUCCUGCAUGGGGGUCCGGGAAAGCUCUGGCGGCGUGGGAUGGGGUCGCGUCCUAUCAGCUUGUUGGCGGGGUGAGGGCCCACCAAGGCUUCGACGGGUAGCCGGCCUGAGAGGGCGACCGGCCACAUUGGGACUGAGAUACGGCCCAGACUCCUACGGGAGGCAGCAGUGGGGAAUAUUGCACAAUGGGCGCAAGCCUGAUGCAGCGACGCCGCGUGCGGGAUGGAGGCCUUCGGGUUGUAAACCGCUUUUGUUUGGGAGCAAGCCCUUCGGGGUGAGUGUACCUUUCGAAUAAGCACCGGCUAACUACGUGCCAGCAGCCGCGGUAAUACGUAGGGUGCGAGCGUUAUCCGGAUUUAUUGGGCGUAAAGGGCUCGUAGGCGGUUCGUCGCGUCCGGUGUGAAAGUCCAUCGCCUAACGGUGGAUCUGCGCCGGGUACGGGCGGGCUGGAGUGCGGUAGGGGAGACUGGAAUUCCCGGUGUAACGGUGGAAUGUGUAGAUAUCGGGAAGAACACCAAUGGCGAA
rnacentral:rRNA from 1 species